rfam:Treponema lecithinolyticum ATCC 700332 genomic scaffold Scaffold48, whole genome shotgun sequence.
UUUGGAAGAGAUGUAACCGCCGUUACAGCCGCUUUUCGGUUGUGACUGAGGAAAGUCCGGGCUCCUUCGGAAAGGAUGCCGGCUAACGGCCGGGGCAGCUGAAUAAGCUGUACAGACAGCGCAACAGAAAACAAACCGCCUGCUGUGCAGGCAAGGGUGAAAAGGCGGGGUAAAAGCCCACCGGGUAUUCGGUAACGGAUACCGCAGUGCAAGCCUCAUUCGGAGCAAGGUCAAGCAGUAACUGAUUAUUCCGAAUCGAUAGUUACGGGUAGACCGCUGGAGACACGGAGCAAUUCGUGUUCAAGAUAGAUGGUUACGGCAAUCCGUUUUUAAGGAUUGUUUACAGAAUCCGGCUUAUUCUCUUCCAUUUUUU